rnacentral:rRNA from 1 species
UGUUUGGAGAGUUUGAUUCUGGCUCAGGACGAACGCUGGCGGCGUGCUUAACACAUGCAAGUCGAACGGAAAGGCCCUUCGGGGUACUCG